rnacentral:rRNA from 1 species
AUUGAACGCUGGCGGCAUGCCUAACACAUGCAAGUCGAACGGAAACGAUGGGAGCUUGCUCCCAGGCGUCGAGUGGCGGACGGGUGAGUAAUACUUAGGAAUCUACCCAGGAGUGGGGGACAACCCGGGGAAACUCGGGCUAAUACCGCAUACGCCCUACGGGGUAAAGCGGGGGACCUUUCGGGGGCCUCGUGCUUCUGGAUGAGCCUGCGUCGGAUUAGCUUGUUGGUGAGGUAACGGCUCACCAAGGCGACGAUCCGUAGCUGGUCUGAGAGGAUGAUCAGCCACACUGGGACUGAGACACGGCCCAGACUCCUACGGGAGGCAGCAGUGGGGAAUAUUGGACAAUGGGCGCAAGCCUGAUCCAGCCAUGCCGCGUGUGUGAAGAAGGCCUUCGGGUUGUAAAGCACUUUCAGUGGGGAAGAAAAGCCUGGGGUUAAUACCCCCGAGUCUUGACGGUACCCACAGAAGAAGCACCGGCUAAUUCCGUG